rfam:Mycobacterium riyadhense strain DSM 45176 contig_82, whole genome shotgun sequence.
UUCGCGGUCGGGUCGACCUCCCUGGUCACCACCAGGUAUUCGCGUAUUGCAAUGGCGUGCAGGUGCUC